rnacentral:rRNA from 1 species
GACGAACGCUGGCGGCGCGCUUAACACAUGCAAGUCGAGCGAGAACCAGGACUUCGGUCCUGGGGACAGCGGCGAACGGGUGAGUAACACGUGGAUAACCUGCCCUCGGCACCGGGAUAGCCCGAGGAAGCUCGGAUUAAUACCGGAUAGCCCUUCCGACUCUCGAGUCGGUCCGAAAAGGUAGCUUCGGCCUCUGGCCGAGGAUGGGUCCGCGGCGGAUUAGCUUGUUGGUGGGGUAAUGGCCUACCAAGGCUUCGAUCCGUAGCUGGUCUGAGAGGACGAUCAGCCACACUGGGACUGAGACACGGCCCAGACUCCUACGGGAGGCAGCAGUGGGGAAUCUUGCGCAAUGGGCGAAAGCCUGACGCAGCGACGCCGCGUGAGGGAAGAAGGCCUC